rnacentral:rRNA from 1 species
GUGCCAGCAGCCGCGGUAAUACAGAGGUCCCAAGCGUUGUUCGGAUUUACUGGGCGUAAAGGGUGCGUAGGUGGCAGGGUAAGUUUGAUGUGAAAGCUCCGGGCUUAACCCGGAAAUGGCAUUGAAUACUAUCCCGCUAGAGGGUUGGAGGGGAGACUGGAAUUCUCGGUGUAGCAGUGAAAUGCGUAGAUAUCGAGAGGAACACCAGUGGCGAAGGCGAGUCUCUGGACAACUCCUGACACUGAGGCACGAAAGCUAGGGGAGCAAACAGGAUUAGAUACCCUUGUAGUCC